GAUGAACGCUAGCUACAGGCUUAACACAUGCAAGUCGAGGGGAAACGACAUCGAAAGCUUGCUUUUGAUGGGCGUCGACCGGCGCACGGGUGAGUAACGCGUAUCCAACCUGCCCAUCACUUGGGGAUAACCUUGCGAAAGUAAGACUAAUACCCAAUGAUAUCUCUAGAAGACAUCUGAAAGAGAUUAAAGAUUUAUCGGUGAUGGAUGGGGAUGCGUCUGAUUAGCUUGUUGGCGGGGUAACGGCCCACCAAGGCAACGAUCAGUAGGGGUUCUGAGAGGAAGGUCCCCCACAUUGGAACUGAGACACGGUCCAAACUCCUACGGGAGGCAGCAGUGAGGAAUAUUGGUCAAUGGGCGAGAGCCUGAACCAGCCAAGUAGCGUGCAGGAAGACGGCCCUAUGGGUUGUAAACUGCUUUUAUAAAGGAAUAAAGUGAGAGUCGUGACUCUUUUUGUAUGUACCUUAUGAAUAAGGACCGGCUAAUUCCGUG
rnacentral:rRNA from 1 species